rnacentral:rRNA from 1 species
ACUGAAUAGAUACCCCGGUAGUCCCAGCCGUAAACGAUGCUCGCUAGGUGUCAGGCAUGGCGCGACCGUGUCUGGUGCCGCAGGGAAGCCGUGAAGCGAGCCACCUGGGAAGUACGGCCGCAAGGCUGAAACUUAAAGGAAUUGGCGGGGAGCACAACAACGGGUGGAGCCUGCGGUUUAAUUGGACUCAACGCCGGACAACUCACCGGGGGUCGACAGCAAUAUGUAGGCCAAGCUGAAGACUUUGCCUGAAUCGCUGAGAGGAGGUGCAUGGCCGUCGCCAGUUCGUACUGUGAAGCAUCCUGUUAAGUCAGGCAACGAGCGAGACCCGUGCCCACUGUUACCAGCAUGUCCUCCGGGACGAUGGGUACUCUGUGGGGACCGCCUAUGUUAAACU